rnacentral:rRNA from 1 species
GCCNUUCCGCGUGCAGGACGAAGGCCUUCGGGUUGUAAACUGCUUUUGUACGGAACGAAAAGGUCUCUAUUAAUACUAGGGGCUCAUGACGGUACCGUAAGAAUAAGCACCGGCUAACUACGUGCCAGCAGCCGCGGUAAUACGUAGGGUGCAAGCGUUAAUCGGAAUUACUGGGCGUAAAGCGUGCGCAGGCGGUUAUAUAAGACAGAUGUGAAAUCCCCGGGCUCAACCUGGGAACUGCAUUUGUGACUGUAUAGCUGGAGUGCGGCAGAGGGGGAUGGAAUUCCGCGUGUAGCAGUGAAAUGCGUAGAUAUGCGGAGGAACACCGAUGGCGAAGGCAAUCCCCUGGGCCUGCACUGACGCUCAUGCACGAAAGCGUGGGGAGCAAACAGGAUUAGAUACCCUGGUAGUCCACGCCCUAAACGAUGUCAACUGGUUGUUGGGUCUUCACUGACUCAGUAACGAAGCU